rnacentral:rRNA from 1 species
CAGUCAGGGAGAAAGUCUCUUCGGGGAUGAUUAAACCGGCGCACGGGUGAGUAACACGUGAGUGACCUGCCUUUUAGACUGGAACAACUUACCGAAAGGUGAGCUAAUGCCGGAUGAGUUAUAUAAGUGCAUGUUUAUAUAGGAAAAGUUGGGGAGACCUGACGCUGAAAGAUGGACUCGCGUCCCAUUAGCUAGUUGGUAGGGUAAUGGCCUACCAAGGCGACGAUGGGUAGCCGGCCUGAGAGGGUGGCCGGCCACACUGGGACUGAGACACGGCCCAGACUCCUACGGGAGGCAGCAGUGGGGAAUUUUGCGCAAUGCUCGUAAGAGUGACGCAGCGACGCCGCGUGAAUGACGAAGGCCUUCGGGUCGUAAAGUUCUUUCGACAGGGAAGAAAAUGCCUAUAAGUAACUGUGUAUGUAUUGACGGUACCUGUAUAAGCAGCCCCGGCUAACUCCGUGCCAGCAGCCGCGGUAAUACGGAGGGGGCGAGCGUUGUUCGGAGUGACUGGGCGUAAAGAGCACGUAGGCGGUGUUGUAAGUCAUUAGUCAAAGACUAGAGCUCAACUUUAGUAAGGCUAGUGAUACUAUAAUACUAGAGUAUCAGAGAGGAUUGCAGAAUUCCUGGUGUAGCGGUGAAAUGCGUAGAUAUCAGGAGGAAUACCGUUAGCGAAGGCGGCAAUCUGGCUGGAAACUGACGCUGAGGUGCGAAAGCGUGGGUAGCAAACAGGAUUAGAUACCCUGGUAGUCCACGCUGUAAACGAUGG